rnacentral:lncRNA from 1 species
GAAUAAUUCAGGGACUGACCAGAGAAUAUUGCUCAUUUUUGGAAGGUUUGGCUGUUCUGAAGAGUGCCUGGAUGACAGACCUGCUUUGAAGCUUGUCAACCCCUCUGCAGAGCACCUCUCCUGUCAGGAGCUGCUGUCCUGGAGAACAAUGGCUGGGAGCAGGGUGAGGGGCUGUGCUGUGCCCGCAGCCUUUGAUCACACCUGGUGCGGCUCCAAGCGGGGCCUGCUCGUGGGCACUGCUGGGUUUUAGCAUUUCUGAUCAUAUCACACUGCAGUACAGGAACUGUGCUUUGCCUGCUACCCCGGGUCACAAUUUAUGAGCAAAUGCCAGUUCCAACAGGCAUGGUUCAAGCUGAUGGAAAUGUUGUCAGUGCUGCUCAAAUGGAAUUGAUAAUGACAUUCUUAAUAAAAUCCAGAAGAAAAAAAACAUUUGUGUGCAUGAAGAGAAGAUGUACAGGGGCUCCUUUGAUACCACACUGCAGGGAUGUUGAACACCGCAGGUGGGAGUGGUGACUGGGUGAGCUCUCUGGGAAGGUGUGUGACCCAGCGUGCUCCAGAAACACCCUGGCACUGAAGGCGUUGUUGGGAGGUGCUUGCCU